GAUGAACGCUGGCGGCGUGCCUAAUACAUGCAAGUCGAGCGAACGGACGAGAAGCUUGCUUCUCUGAUGUUAGCGGCGGACGGGUGAGUAACACGUGGAUAACCUACCUAUAAGACUGGGAUAACUUCGGGAAACCGGAGCUAAUACCGGAUAAUAUUUUGAACCGCAUGGUUCAAAAGUGAAAGACGGUCUUGCUGUCACUUAUAGAUGGAUCCGCGCUGCAUUAGCUAGUUGGUAAGGUAACGGCUUACCAAGGCAACGAUGCAUAGCCGACCUGAGAGGGUGUUCGGCCACUCUGGAGCUGAGCCACGGUCCAGACUCCUACGGGAGGCAGCGGUAGGGACGCUUCCGCACUGGGCGAAAGCCUGACGGAGCAACGCCGCGCGAGUGAUGAAGGUCUUCGGGUCGUAAAACGCUGUUCUUGGUGAAGAACAUAUGUGUAAGUAACUGUGCACAUCUGGCCGGUACCUAAACAGAAAGCCCCGGUUAACUCCUU
rnacentral:rRNA from 1 species